AUGAAAGACGGUACCUGGCGCUUUUGCAUUGAUUAUAGGCAUCUCAAUGCCAUGACAUACAUCGGAAGGUUCCCCAUUCCGGUGAUAGAUGAACUGCUUGAUGAGCUCCACGGUGCGGUUUGGUUUUCAAAGCUUGACUUACGUGCUGGGUAUCACCAGAUACGCUUGGCUGAGGGUGAGGAGUACAAAACGGUGUUUCAAACACACUCCGGCCAUUAUGAGUAA
rnacentral:rRNA from 1 species